rnacentral:rRNA from 1 species
AUUGAACGCUGGCGGCAGGCUUAACACAUGCAAGUCGAGCGGAGAUGAGGUGCUUGCACCUUAUCUUAGCGGCGGACGGGUGAGUAAUGCUUAGGAAUCUGCCUAUUAGUGGGGGACAACAUUCCGAAAGGAAUGCUAAUACCGCAUACGUCCUACGGGAGAAAGCAGGGGAUCUUCGGACCUUGCGCUAAUAGAUGAGCCUAAGUCGGAUUAGCUAGUUGGUGGGGUAAAGGCCUACCAAGGCGACGAUCUGUAGAGGGUCUGAGAGGAUGAUCCGCCACACUGGGCCUGAGACACGGCCCAGACUCCUACGGGAGGCAGCAGUGGGGAAUAUUGGACAAUGGGGGGAACCCUGAUCCAGCCAUGCCGCGUGUGUGAAGAAGGCCUUAUGGUUGUAAAGCACUUUAAGCGAGGAGGAGGCUACUGAGACUAAUACUCUUGGAUAGUGGACGUUACUCGCAGAAUAAGCACCGGCUAACUCUGUGCCAGCCGCCGCCGUAAGAC